UGCUGGGCCUUUUGGCUCCUGGCCUGCCAUGGCAUCUGUGGCUUCCGCCUUCUCAGGAGUCAGUCACAUCCCCUGGAAUCUUCUUCCUUUCCUCUCCCCUGCUCCCAGUUGUCCUGCUAAGAGGACAUGGCAAUCGGACAGCAGGCUUCUGGAGUCCAGAGUCGAAACCUGCCCAGAGGCUGCCUCCAGGGCAAUAGCGGUGACACUUGCAAGUGGGACGUGGGAUGCGCAGAGCUGUUUAUAAAGGCGGUCCAGGAGUCCUUGAUGCGGUUUGGGUCUGCGAUGGGAAGAUCUCUAUAAACGGGUCAUAAAAUAUGCCGCAUGUUGUGUGCCAAAUGCCUCUGCAGAUACUUGACUCCAUUCUGCAUGUUCAGAUGGCUCCCAGGAAGUAGACACCUUCCUCUGACUCUCAUCUAAUGGGGUUCACUGGUGGUUGCAGCUUGGCCCAUGGGAUCGACUUUGUUCCUUUGUCCAUCCAUAUGUACCUGUACUCGCUCACUCCUACCCCAGAUGUCACUGAGCACUUACUAGGCCAGACACUGCUCAGCCCAGCUGUGGAAAGCUAACUGAGGCAGUCCCCACCUUCGAGAGCUUGAAAGAAACCAACCAUAGCGGGUGAAUAAAUGCUGGGAAAGAACGAAUCCUGGGGUCCUCAGCAUGGUUGUCAGUGCAGAGUUGUUCAGCCCCUUUCACAGAGAAAAUGCAGUGGCAUCUGGUCUGUCAUCAGUACGUAAUACAAUACUUAUUAUAAAUAAGUAUUAUAAUGGUGCUUAUUACUCAGCACCAUU